rnacentral:lncRNA from 1 species
AUGGAAGAUGACAAUGGCAGCUAUUCCAGUUUUCAAUCUCUGGAUGAGGCACCGGAGCCGAAAUUCAACAUGUACCAACAAAUUGAUUCCAGUCUUGACAGUCGAUUGUCUGGUGAUUCAACACAGAGUGAAAGGGUAGGAGCUGGCGAGAAGAAAAAAAAGAAAGGAAUCCUUGGAAAAUUGAGAAAACUAACAAAAUCCUCCAGUGUAGAUCAUGAACCUGAAUACGAGUACACGUCUCGAAGUCAGGUAAAUCCAGGCUCUGACACCAGCCUAGCAUCUCAUGGUAACCCCGAGUUAGAAUCCCAUCAAAACAAAAGGAAUUUCAAGAGUCGAAUCUCUGAUAUGUUUAAAAAAUCUGGCUCUACCUCCCGAGGGAACAGGUUUGUACCAUUUCCGUGUUUUUUAGCUGAGUAUUGA